UACAGAGGUCUCAAGCGUUGUUCGGAUUCAUUGGGCGUAAAGGGUGUGUAGGUGGCGCGCUAAGUCGGGUGUGAAAUUUCGGAGCUUAACUCCGAAACUGCAUUCGAUACUGGCGUGCUUGAGGACUGGAAAGGAGACUGGAAUUUACGGUGUAGCAGUGAAAUGCGUAGAUAUCGUAAGGAAGACCAGUGGCGAAGGCGGGUCUCUGGACAGUUCCUGACACUGAGACACGAAGGCCAGGGGAGCAAACGGG
rnacentral:rRNA from 1 species